rnacentral:rRNA from 1 species
UUAUAAGAGACAGCAGCAGCCGCGGGAAUACGGAGGGUGCAAGCGUUAAUCGGAAUUACUGGGCGUAAAGCGCACGCAGGCGGUCUGACAAGUCAGAUGUGAAAUCCCCGGGCUUAACCUGGGAACUGCAUUUGAAACUGUCAGGCUGGAGUCUUGUAGAGGGGGGUGGAAUUCCAGGUGUAGCGGUGAAAUGCGUAGAGAUCUGGAGGAAUACCGGUGGCGAAGGCGGCCCCCUGGACAAAGACUGACGCUCAGGUGCGAAAGCGUGGGGAGCAAACAGGAUUAGAUACCCCAGUAGUCCCUGUCUCUUAUAC